rnacentral:rRNA from 1 species
AGUGAACGCUGGCGGUAGGCCUAACACAUGCAAGUCGAACGGCAGCACAGUAAGAGCUUGCUCUUACGGGUGGCGAGUGGCGGACGGGUGAGGAAUACAUCGGAAUCUACUUUUUCGUGGGGGAUAACGUAGGGAAACUUACGCUAAUACCGCAUACGACCUACGGGUGAAAGCAGGGGAUCUUCGGACCUUGCGCGAUUGAAUGAGCCGAUAUCGGAUUAGCUAGUUGGCGGGGUAAAGGCCCACCAAGGCGACGAUCCGUAGCUGGUCUGAGAGGAUGAUCAGCCACACUGGAACUGAGACACGGUCCAGACUCCUACGGGAGGCAGCAGUGGGGAAUAUUGGACAAUGGGCGCAAGCCUGAUCCAGCCAUACCGCGUGGGUGAAGAAGGCCUUCGGGUUGUAAAGCCCUUUUGUUGGGAAAGAAAAGCAGCAGGUUAAUACCCCGCUGUUCUGACGGUACCCAAAGAAUAAGCACCGGCUAACUUCGU